rnacentral:lncRNA from 1 species
GUCGCGUAAUGGUUUCGGCAAACCUGACGAAGAUUAGGGUUCAAGCUGCGCCACGCAUCGCUACGCCAUAGGAUGGCUUGCAGACAAUCACACCUUAAGGGGAUACGUUGCUAGCAGCGCAAUUACGCUGCCGAGGGCACCUGAACAUCCCUCAACAACCGCAUUGGAUACGGCUAUCGAGGCCGACAUAGUCAUUCAAUGGACUAUAACCAAGGAAAUCUUUGGAAGAUCAACUGGCGCUUAGGUAGGUGAGUUUCCGCCAAGGUCCAACAAGUCAGCAACGCAUUCCACUAUCUCAGCGAUAAUUCAACGCUUCCAAGAUCCCAAAGAGUAGGUUCGAGCAGCACUUGUUGUCCUCCAAGGUCAUAGAUGUUGCAGGAAAUGUUACAUCUACGUUUAACUCAUGAUAAGCGACGAAUCAUUGGACGCAUGAAGGCAUACAGGACCCUCCCGUAUGUACGCAGGAUGCUUGACAGUUUAUAACGGCAGGACGCGGCUACAAAA